UCUGGUUGAUCCUGCCAGUAGUUAUAUGCUUGUCUCAAAGAUUAAGCCAUGCAUGUCUAAGUACACACGAAUUAAAAGUGAAACUGCAAAAGGCUCAUUAUAUCAGUUAUGGUUCCUUAGAUCGUUAACAGUUACUUGGAUAACUGUGGUAAUUCUAGAGCUAAUACAUGCAAUUAAAACAAGAACCUUAUGGGACAUGUGCUUUUAUUAGGCUAAAACCAAGCGAUCGCAAGAUCGUUAUAUUGGUUGAACUCUAGAUAACAUGCAGAUUGUAUGGUCUUGUACAGACGACAGAUCUUUCAAAUGUCGCCCUAUCAACUUUUGAUGGUAGUAUCUAGGACUACCAUGGUUGCAACGGGUAACGGGCCAUCAGGGUUCGAUUCCGGAGAGGGAUCCUAAGAAACAGCUACCAUAUCUAAGGAAGGCAGCAGGCGCGUAAAUUACCCACUCCCAGCUCGGGAGUAAACUUGUGCUUCAUACGGGUGGUACAACUUACAAUUGCGGUUAGUACUAUACCUUUAUAUAUGUAAGCGUAUUACCGGUGGAGUUCUUAUAUGUGAUUAAAUACUUGUAUUUUUUCAUAUGUUCUCCUAUUUAAAAACCUGCAUUAGUGCUCUUAAACGAGUGUAAGAGUGCUUAAAGCAGGCUUCAAAUGCCUGAAUAUUCUGUGAAUGGGAUAAUGCAAUAAGAGAUCUGUUCUGCUUUCAUUGGUUUUCAGAUCAAGAGGUAAUGAUUAAUAGAAGCAGUUUGGGGUCAUUACGUAUUACGACGCGAGAAGUGCAAUUCUUGGACCGUCGUAAGACUAACUUAAGCGAAAGCAUUUGCCAAAGAUGUUUUCAUUAAUCAAGAACGAAAGUUAGAGGUUCGUAGGCGAUCAGAUACCGCCCUAGUUUUAACCAUAAAAGAUGCCAGCUAGCAAUUGGGUGUAGCUACUUUUAUGGCUCUCUCAGUCGCUUCCCGGGAAACCAAAGCUUUUGGGCUCCGGGGGAAGUAUGGUUGCAAAGCUGAAACUUAAAGGAAUUGACGGAAGGGCACCACCAGGAGUGGAGCAUGCGGCUUAAUUUGACUCAACAUGGGAAAACUUACCAGGUCCGAACAUAAGUGUGUAAGACAGAUUGAUAGCUCUUUCUCGAAUCUAUGGGUGGUGGUGCAUGGCCGUUCUUAGUUCGUGGAGUGAUAAUAGAUAUCUUCAGGAUUAUGGUGCUGAAGCUUAUAUAGCCUUCAUUCAUGGUGGCAUUAAAAUGUUUAUUGUGUUUGAAUGUGUUUAUGUAAGAGGAGCCGUACCUGUUGGUUUGUCUCAUUAUAAGGACACUACUUUCUUAAAUGGACAAAUUGCGUCUAGCAAUAAUGAGAUUGAGCAAUAACAGGUCUGUAAUGCCCUUAGAUGUCCUGGGCUGCACGCGCGCUACAAUGAAAGAAUCAACGUGUAUUUCCUAGACCGAGAGGUCCGGGUAAGCCGCUGAACCAUUUUCAUGCUUGGGAUUGUGAACUGAAACUGUUCACAUGAACUUGGAAUUCCCAGUAAGUGUGAGUCAUUACCUCGCAUUGAUUACGUCCCUGCCCUUUGUACACACCGCCCGCCGCUACUAUCGAUUGAAUUGUUUAGUGAGGUCUCCGGACGUGAUCACUGUGACGCCUUGCGUGUUACGGUUGUUUCGCAAAAGUUGACCGAACUUGAUUAUUUAGAGGAAGUAAAAGUCGUAACAAGGUUUC
rnacentral:rRNA from 1 species